AGAUAGUUUGGAGUGAUCACUCCGAUUCCUUUAGGACAUCGGAGAGGAAAGUCCGAGCACCAUGGCAAAUCGCAGCCGAUAACAUCGUGCCGCCGUAUAUUUAAAACAUGCGGAAGGGAUAGUGCCACAGAGACAAUACUAACCCCGCAAGGGGCAAAAGGUGAAAAGCCCUAUUCAUUAGGGACAUAUGGCGAAAGCCAUAAACGUUGGAAAACCCUGUGAGGUGCAAGGUGAGAUGGAAAGAUUUAUUCGCCGCCAAUCGCAAAUAACUCUUCUCACCGCUAUAGAUUCCACUUCGGUGGAACUAAGAUAGAUGAUCACAACCCGAAAGGGACACAGAACUCGGCUUACCCAAACUGUUUAAGA
rnacentral:RNase_P_RNA from 1 species